rnacentral:ncRNA from 2 species
UAAUAUCCUCACCGAACUGGUGCCAUUUAGAUGUAUAGAUGGCUGAAAAGGGAAUCUGGUGUAAAUCCAGAACUGACGCGCAGCGGUAAAAGAGAACGAAGGCUCAUCAGACACUGUACUAGAAAGUAUGGGAAGUCGAGUACUAGGCGGUGAAAACCAUGCUCUUAAGUCCGAAUACCUGCCAGUAGCCGAGAAACACA